ensembl:lncRNA
CAGUAUUCUUGCCUGGAGAAUCCUGUGGAUGGAGGAGCUUGGUGGGCUCCAGUCCACGGGUCGCAAAGAGUCGGACACGACUGAGCGACUUCAUUUUCACCAGGUUUAGCUUCCCUGGGGAUCCUGGAGACCCCUCAGGUGGGCUACCUGGUAAUUGUUCCGAUGUUGGAGCACAUUCGGGUUGAGUAGGGAGGCAGGUUCAUCUCGUGCACUGAUUCCAGGGCACAGGGAUUGGGCAUAAAGUCAAUGGGCAGCGGGUGAGGCUGCUGCUGUGCUCGCCUUCCCGUCGACUCUCUCCUCUGAAGAGAACAGAGCUGCCCCUCCUCUUUCAGCCCAGCUCUCCAGUGUUUUCUCAGCACCUCGGCGGCGGUGUGACAGAGCCUGCCAGAACCAAGGGCAUGAGGAAAAUUUACCUGUUGCAGUUGGCUUCUUGAAAGUCAGUUGUGUUUAGAAUUUAUUUCUGCAAUAUCUGCCCCGGGCCUUUCCUGAGUGCAUCUUUUAAUUUCAUGGCUGCAAAAAGCAGAGACAUUAUGUUGCCAACAAAGGUAUGUUGCCAACAUAGUCAAAGCUAUGAUUUUUCCAGUAGUCAUGUAUGCAUGUGAGAGUUGGACUAUAAAGAAAGCUGAGCACUGAAGAAUUGAUGCUUUUGAACUGUGGUGUUUGUUGGAGAAGACUCGUGAGAGUCCCUUGGAGGGCAAAGAGGUCCAACCAGUCAAGCCUAAAGGAAAUCAGUCCUGAAUAUUCACUAGAAGGACUGAUACUGAAGCUCCAAUACUUUGGCCACCUGAUGCGAAGAACUGACUCAUUGGAAAAGACCCUGAUGCUGGGAAAGAGUGAAGGCGAGAGGAGAAGGGGCCAACAGAGGAUAAGACGGUUGGAUGGCAUCACCAACUCAAUGGACGUUACAAAGAAGCUGUCAAAGGUGUCUCAGUUUGAGUUCAGCCCAAGCAGACAUUGAGGGAAAGAACAGAAAUGGAGAGAGCAGCUAGGAGCCAUGGCAGGACUGCAG